UGCUUCUGAAUACGUACUAGUUGCUAGAAACUGCAGGAGAGGAAAGUGCUCUUGUGCUCAUGUCCUGCUCAUUGGUUUCUUACAGGCAUCUGGUUGAACACUGGGAGAACAGGAUGCUGGACUAGAUGGGCUAUUGGUCUGAUCCAAUAGGCUCUUCUUAUGUCCUUAUGUUGCGAAAAAGGCCCUAGUCACUGUCAUGGACCACCUGAAAGAAGCUUGCAGACCCUGUGGAAGGCAGUCCAUUAGGGCUAGUGGGACACUGCCUCACCAUCCUCAGUCUUGAUUCCUCCAAGCCCACCUACCUUCUUAUUUACAACCUGUCCAAGGAGGUGGCACUGCCUAUCAACUUCCUCCUCCUCCUCCAUAGUCUCUGCCUCGCUCCUGCAGAACUCAACAGGAAGGAGUAGAAUUAGAUGGCUCCACCAGUCAUUGACUCUCUGGCUCCACCUACUGUUGGCCUCCACACCUUCUGCCCCACCAGUUUCAAUGGGCACAAGCCACCACUGCCAGCUGACCAUACUUGGGGAAUCUCUGGUCUCUGGUUUUCCCCAUUUUCUGGUUCCUGACCUUUUAACUGGAUAAGCUGCAUUUGAACCUGGAGGGAGAUCUGCUGAUUGCAAAACCAAGGCUCUAUCACUGAGUUGCAGGAUUCCAAGCGAGAUGACACAACCGCUCCAGAUGUGUCUGUGGCUUUUAGGUGUGGGAGCGAGGCCAAGGGAAGUACCACUUUGGAUUUCUUUCAGCAGCAAAUCUUUUAAGAAAUCCCCAGACUUCUGUUAUGAAGGCAAACAGAAACUCCUGUGAGGCAGACCUGCCUGACAGCAACUUGGAAAGUGCCCGCCCCCCAACCGCCGCCAUGACUGCACCUCCCAGGCCCUGGGGAGAAAGUGGCAUGAUCAGAAUUCAAGGACAGAUUUCAGCCAGGUAAAAAAAAAAAUCUUGGGGAGAAUCAAUGAGGGUGUGUGGCCUGGGGAGAGUUCUAAGGCCAGAUGAAUUGAAAGCACACGGUUUCCCUCGAAUAAUCUUGGGAAGGGUCAUUUACCGCUCUCUGUGCUACAGUUCCCAACGCCCCCAAUGAACUACAAUUCCCAGAGUGGCUUAACCAUCAAUCCCUCUUCACAAGGAACUUUGGGAGCUGUAACUCUGUGAGGGGAAUAGGGGUCUCCUAACGAUUCUCAGCCUGCUUAACAAAUAGUUCCUGGAAUACUUUGGGGAAAGCCAUGAAUGUUUAAAGUGGUAUGAUAGUGCUUUAAAUGUUCUGUGUGAAUAAUAGUGGGGUUUCUGAGUAAGGA